AGACAAAGUUUAUCUCCUCUCCAGAGAAGACUGUUAAAUAAGGUGUUGUGUGGGGGGAAGAGCACCACAAGAGGAUGCAGAGAGCGCAUGGAGGGAGAAAAGAAGUAAAGAAACAGCAGAGAGCAUAAGAAGGUCUGAAGGGGUUGAAAUGUCAGGAAGAGAUGACGUUUUUCUGCAGAGAGAAAAGCAAGAGCUGUGCUGAGUGCAGGAUGGGUCCCCUUAAAGCAGCCCCUCUACCUUCUGAGGGUGGUUUGGCUCAAGUCCUCAGCAACAUUGCUCUUGCUUAAUGUGAAACUUGGAAGCAACCCUGGGUAAACAAGCCAGGCUAAUAUUUUAC